GCUAAUAGCGGUUCAGCACCAAAUCUUGGAUGAUUUCAUAAUAUGGAAACAAGACCAGACUGGAAAAACUACAGCAGAGAAAAGCCAUUUCACUUUGGAUCUUCUGUGACUAUUUGGUGUAGUGAUGUUUAGUAAGAUUUAAGGUACUGAAAGAUGUCCAGUGCAAUAAUUCAAGAUUUGAAUAAGCGUAUUACUAGAUUUUUGUGAAUUUACUACCUGUGGAAAGUGCUGGAUUAACAGUUCUGGUGUAUCUAUCUACUACUACUCUCAGUGCAUCCUUGGGAAAAUUAGUAAAUCUGUAUUUUGGAUAUUCCCAAGUCAUAACAACAAAGCAGAGCUCCUUGCCUGAGACCCAUGACAAAGAUACAGUGUGCAGCCUGAAGAACAGGUUGGAACUCAGACCAAGGAAUGGUUUUUAUCUCCAUGAAAAAAAAAAGGCAUGUCUUCGUGAUGGUUGGAAACAAAACCUUUUCAUAUUUGUACAGGAAGGUGCUACCCGCAGACUUCAUAAGUCAGCAGAUCGACUCUGUCUGGUCUAGAGAAUGUCUAGAACAUGGAUAUCCAUCAUCUCAUCAUUAUUAUGAAAAUGCUUUGAGUGGUAUCAGGAGUGGGGUGGAUGUGCUAUCAAGACCUGCAGUCCACAGAGCAGUGCACUGUUGUACAGUUCUAGGGCUCCAUCACCCACCCCCUCCUCCUCCUCAGCGUCGCCAGCACUACCCAACACCGUCAUUCAAAAAGUAUAGAUUUUUACACAUGACAGUGAACAUACAACUUUAA
ensembl:lncRNA